AUGGUCAUCACCAAGGCAUCUUGGUAGAAAGCAGAUUCUGAUUCCGGGACCAAGAUUCUGCAUUUUUAGCAAGUUCUUGAGUGCUGCCGCA
rnacentral:pre_miRNA from 14 species